UACGUAGGCAGCGAGCGUUGUUCGGAGUUACUGGGCGUAAAGGGUGUGUAGGCGGUUGUUUAAGUUUGGUGUGAAAUCUCCCGGCUCAACUGGGAGGGUGCGCCGAAUACUGAAUGACUUGGAGUGCGGGAGAGGAAAGUGGAAUUCCUGGAUGUAGCGGUGAAAUGCGUAGAUAUCAGGAGGAACACCGGUGGUGUAGACGGCUUUCUGGGCCGUAACUGACGCUGGAGACACGAAAGCGUGGGUAGCAAACAGGA
rnacentral:rRNA from 1 species